rnacentral:lncRNA from 1 species
AUGCAUCAUACUGUCAUUCAUUCCAACAAGUUGACUUAGCGCUCAGUCAAUUUCCAUCCAAUAGACCCAUAAUGCUGUCAAAACCUAAAACUCAUGUUUGAAGCUCACAUAUAGUGGAAUACAAAUCUGCCGAGUUAAGGAUCUUUUCUGAAACUCGGAAUUUUUAUGGCUUGCCCUGCAAUAGCAUGUUUGUUGUUAUGGCUGUAUUUAUUUCUGUUUAGAAGGCAACCCAGCUAAGAGAUAGAGUUUCAGUGACAUGAAGAGUGUGAAGUGAACCACCUAUCACCAUGCUACUAUAUCACUUCAUGACACUUUAUUUAGCAUCAGGAAAUGUAUUUCAACAUGAGGAGUAAGACUGUUAGUUGCUGUGAUUUCCAUUUUUACGGUUUUUUCAUCAUGAAAAUUGAAGUGUGCUUCUUAGAAAAG